UCUAAGGUGACUGCCGGCUAAAAGUCGGAGGAAGGUGGGGAUGACGUCAAAUCAUCAUGCCCCUUAUGACCUGGGCUACACACGUGCUACAAUGGGCGGUACAAAGGGUCGCGAACCCGCGAGGGGGAGCCAAUCCCAAAAAAGCCGCUCUCAGUUCGGAUUGCAGGCUGCAACUCGCCUGCAUGAAGCCGGAAUCGCUAGUAAUCGCGGAUCAGCAUGCCGCGGUGAAUACGUUCCCGGGCCUU
rnacentral:rRNA from 1 species